AAAUUGAAAUAUUGCGUAGGCAUUGUGCACAGUUGGUCAAUCUCGCUGUGCAUUCUACCUAUACAGUGUUUCGGGCU
rfam:Lottia gigantea unplaced genomic scaffold LOTGIsca_16, whole genome shotgun sequence.